UGUCCAGGGAUGGGAAUCGAACCCACAGUGUUCCGCUUACCGGGCAGAUGCCAUGUCCACUAGGGCC